AGCAUCCACAGGUUUUUUGGAAUUGGCUGCAGCAAGGCCGAGCUCAUCAAGCCGGUGCAGCGCAUUUUUGUAGGCGUCUAUGUGCCGGUGCAAUUCGGCCUUGAUGGCCACAUGGAGAACGGCCGCCGCCUCUCGGAACUGCCGCCCCUCGGACAACACCAGCACUCGCCUCAACACUGUUCGUGAACUCGUCGGAGAAGUUCUCUCGCGACGGAUCCGAUCACCGGAGUCCCGCAUCGCACCGGAGUUUCGACAUGAAUGCAACAAGAUGCUGCUGCCGGCUGAAGAUCCAGCAGCGGCACACUGACACACUUCAAGAACCGGAGGUGCGUCCGAAGAGGUGGGAACAUGGGGAGAUUGGACGAGAGAACAUUUGGAGUGAGUCCACCUGGUGGAAAUCAACUUGAAGGAGUUUCACGGCAAGUUGGCCGAGCUGAGCCGGAGGGUAGUUCUCUCUUCUGAGCUGGUCUCUUUCAUUCUUUGGCGGAGUUCGCCAAAGGCGGCUGCAUUUUUUAGACGCGACUGGUAUUUUUAUAGUGCGAUUAUUCGUCGCGAGUGACCCGAUAUGGAAAUCGGGAGGAAAUGUUGUGGCGGAAAUUUAACAACUGUAAAAAAUUGAGAGUUGAAAAAGUUUCAAUCAUUUACUUUUACUCGAAAUAGCUAUAAUUAUUACCAAUUUGUGGAUUAUAAACACAUAAUGUAAUCACUACUAAACAAUAUUUUAAUAUUUUUAUGUUUAAAAUAAAAAAAUACCAUUAAGUA